CCACAGGGGUCCCAUUCCAAAGACAAAGGAGCAAAGGAGAGGAGGAGAGAGAAGGAGAUGAGGAGAGAGAAGGAGAUGAGGAGAGCGUAAAAGGGGGAGCCACAAAAUAACAGGAUUCAGUAGUGAAGCUUGGGUCCAGUAGAGCCUGUGUGUGUGUGUGUGUGUGUGUGUGUGUGUGUGUGUGUGUGUGUGUGUGUGUGUGUGUGUGUGUGUGUGUGUGUGUGUGUGUGUGUGUGUGUGUGUGUGUGUGUGUGUGUGUGUGUGUGUGUGUGUGUGUGUGUGUGUGUGUGUGUGUGUGUGUGUGUGUGUGUGUGUGUUGCUGAGGCUGGGUCAAGGUGGUGAUGUCUGUCGUCUUGGCCUUUCGCUGGCAUGAAUAAUUCACCUUGAAUUGUCUCAGCAGAGAUCAAUGGCUUCUUCCAAUAUUACGAUCAAUGCUGAAAUCAACACUCUGCCCUAUUCAGCAGGCACACACACCAUGGCUUUGUGCUCCCUGUCUGUUUCUGUCACUGGCCUCUCUGUCCUCACUAAGUCUCAGCCAACAGACAGAGACAACUAGCACUGUCACUGCCCUGCACUGCCAACACACACACACACACACACACACACACACACACACACGUGAAUAGAGUAUUAAUAUCAAACUAUCAAAUCCCAUUAAUCUGAAAUGCACUAAAAGACAGACAAGUUUGUAAGAAUGAGACUGAAGACUGAAUAGCAGAGUGACAUUGCAUCUCAGUUAAUACUGCUGUGAAAGUGUUCCAUUCUCCUCAAAGCCUACGCAGACUACGAUUUUAGCUGUCUUAUACCACCAUUUUGCCAUCCCAGAACAAUUGACCACGUCGUGAGAACAUUCUUAGGUUGCAAAUUAUUCUUAUAUCUUGGCUCGUUCAGUGUGACGGGGUCUACGGUCGGAAAUCUUGGCUCGUUCAGUGUAACGGGGUCUACGGUCGGACAUCUUGGCUCGUUCAGUGUGACAGGGUCUAUGGUUGGACAUCUUGGCUCCUUCAGUGUGACGGGGUCUACGGUCGGACAUCUUGGCUCGUUCAAUGUGACAGGGUCUACGGUUGGACAUCUUGGCUCCUUCAAUGUGACGGGGUCUACGGUCGGACAUCUUGGCUCGUUCAGUGUGACGGGGUCUACGGUCGGACAUCUUGGCUCGUUCAGUGUGACGGGGUCUACGGUCGGACAUCUUGGCUCGUUCAGUGUGACGGGGUCUACGGUCGGACAUCUUGGCUCAUUCAGAGUAACGGGGUCUACGGUCGGACAUCUUGGCUCGUUCAGUGUGACGGGGUCUACGGUCGGACAUCUUGGCUCGUUCAGUGUGACAGGGUCUACGGUCGGACAUCUUGGCUCGUUCAGUGUGACGGGGUCUACGGUCGGACAUCUUGGCUCGUUCAAUGUGACGGGGUCUACGGUCGGACAUCUUGGCUCGUUCAAUGUGACGGGGUCUACGGUCGGACAUCUUGGCUCGUUCAAUGUGACGGGGUCUGAUUAAGUACCAUUACAUGUGGUCGUAGGCUAUAACAAAGUUAUGUCAGUGUCACAAUUAUUUCACCCUUUAUCGUGUAGUGUGGCUGGUGGUACGAGCCAGUCCCGGUGACUGACCAAUAGGAAGACGGCUGGCACUGAGUAUGCACACAAUAAUACGAUUAUGGUGAAUAGUCAGAUUAAUAUAAUAAUUUGAUGUUUACAUGUUGUGAAGGAAGAAGGAUGUCCCUAAUAAUAUUGUUUAUAAACACAUCUGAAAUCAAAAUAAACAUUGUACUACAGAGACCAUGUUAUUUGGGGAAGCCUGUUUGAUUCUGAGUUUGAACAUGUAGAGUUAGUAUGUGAAAACUGUUUCUAAGAUCAUACUUUCAGUUCACUCACACAUAAGCAUAGAGAGGCUUGGCACAUGUGCAGAUCAAACACACCACUGCAGUUUAAAUAGUCAACGUCGGCUGAUGUCAUCAAUCACAGAACUGAAGCAAAUCAUACAAUCUGGCCAGGUUGAUAUCAAGGGAAACGUGCUGGAAGUAAGAAACACAAGUACUGCCUUUAUUCUUCCAUCCCUCCCUCUCUU